AUACUUACUUGGCGCCUGUCUACCCUCGAUCAUGUAGAAGGGUGACACAGGGUGAGGCCAUUGCAUAGCACAUUAGUAGUGGCUGACCUCUGCGAAUUCUUCUUAAGGGAGAUUUCGGGCGCUGAAUGUUUUCGUGUGGGACUGCGUACGCGCUCUCCCGAU